UUUUUUAGGCUUAGGCUUAGGCUUAGGCCGAGGCUUCUACUUAGGGUUAGGCUUAAGGUUAGGCUUAGGAUUAGGCUUAUGUUUAAGCUUAGACUUGGGAUUAGGCUUAGGUUUAG
ensembl:ncRNA C50E10.15 ncRNA